CACGCGUGUGGGCAGAGGCCAGGUUACGCUGCAGGCAUAAACAAGCCACAGCAAAGUUUAUUCCUCACUUCCCCAGUGUCUGUGGAGGUCAAGGCUGCUCUCCAGAACAGCUGCCCUUGAAGGGGACAGUGGCACAGCCUGGCCUGAUCCUGUGGCUCCAUCAUCUCGACCUUCAACAGCAGCCUCUACUGUCCCCAUACCAGCAGAGAGAAGGCCUGAGGCCCCACCAGUGCCCCACCAACGCCACAGGGCUGGCCAUGGAGUGUGUAGGAGCCAAGAAGAAGAGGACAAGGGAAUGUUGCACAGCGUCACCUGAGAGGCUGCUAGAGAUGCAGAGAGCCAGAUCCGACCUGGGCCCGCUGAAUCAAAAUCUGCAUCUUAUCAAGAUCCCCAGGGGAUUUGUAAAAAAUAGAGCAUGGGAAGAAACAGCCUCAAUGUCUUUGCUGGAAAAUUUUCUUUCUAUUUAGCCUGCUAAUCCACAGAGAUGCCCUGGAUCACCCUUGGGACACCUAGAUUUUCUCCACAUGAAGCCUGUUAGGUGAUUUGACAGUUGGAGACCUUCCUGUUAACAG
rnacentral:lncRNA from 1 species